UACGGAGGGUGCAAGCGUUAUCCGGAUUCACUGGGCUUAAAGGGCGCGUAGGCGGGUUGGUAAGUCAGUGGUGAAAUCUCCGAGCUUAACUUUGAAACUGCCAUUGAUACUAUCAGUCUUGAAUAUUGUGGAGGUCAGCGGAAUAUGUCAUGUAGCGGUGAAAUGCUUAGAUAUGACAUAGAACACCAAUUGCGAAGGCAGCUGGCUACACAUAUAUUGACACUGAGGCACGAAAGCGUGGGGAGCAAACAGG
rnacentral:rRNA from 1 species